GUCAGCAUGAGUUGCAGGCUCCGGGCGGUGAGGGGUCAGCAAGUGAGGCCGAGGGACACUCGGGGGAGAAAUCUGAGGCUUCACCACUGCUGAAACAUGCAUUUCCAACUGAAAAGCAGCAUACCACACUACUGGAGUUAACUACAACAGCUACUUGUACCUGAUGGACCAUGCCUUGGGCCCAUCACACCCCUGAAGGUACUGUAAGGAAGGCACCAGCCCUAAGAUUCAUGGAGGAAGAGAGAGGUCCCAGAAGACUGGAAAAGGGCAAACAUGGUACCUAUCUUUAAAAAGGAGAACAAAGAGGAUCUGGGGAAUUAUAGAACGGUCAGCCUAACUUCGAUAUCUAGAAAGAUACUAGAACAAAUGAUUUAACAACCAAUUUGUAAGCAGCUAGAAGAUACCAGGGGAAAUUACUAGUUAAACUGGAGAAGAUGGGGAUUAAAAUGAGAAUUGAAAGGUGGAUAAGGAACUAAUUUAAGGGGUGACUACAGCAGGUCAUACUGAAAGGUGACCUGUCAGGCUGGAGGGAGGUUACUAGGGGAGUUCCUUAGGGAUCAGUCUUGAGACCAAUCUUAUUUAACAUUUUUAUUAAUGACUUUGGCACAAAAAGUGGGAGCGUGCUAAUAAAAUUUGCAGAUGACACGAAGUUGGGAGGUAUUGCCAACAUGGAGGAGGACUGGAAUAUCAUACAAAAAGAUCUGUAUCGCUUUGUAAACUGGAAUAAUAGAAAUGGGAUAAAAUUUAAUAGUGCAAAGUGCAAGUUCAUGCACUCAGGGAUUAACAACGAGAGUUGUUGCUAUAAACUGGGGACGUAUCAGUUGGAAGCAACAGAGGAGGAGAAAGACCUCGGUGUAUUAGUCGAUCACAGGAUGACUAUGAGCUAACAUUGUGAUACAGCUGUGAAAAAAGACUAAUGCAGUCCUAGAAUACAUCAGGCGAGAUAUUUCCAGUACAGACAGGGAAGUGUUAUUGCUGUUAUACAAGGCACUGGUGAGACCUCAUCUGGAAUACUGUGUUCAAUUCUGGUCUCCCACGUUUAAGAAAGAUUAAUUCAAAAUGGAACAGGUGCAGUGAAGGGUUACUAAGAUGAUCAGAGGAAUGGAAAAUCUAACUUAUGAGGUGAGACUCAAAGAGCUUGGCCCAUUUAGCCUAACCAAAAGAAGGCUGAGGGAAGAUAUGAUUGCUCUCUAUAAAUCCAUCAGAGGGAUAAAUACCAGGGAGAAAAAGAAGUUAUUUAAGUUAAGUGCCAAUGUGGACACAAGAACAAAUAGAUAUGAACUGGCCAUCAACAAGUUUAGGCUUGGAAUUAGAUGAAGGUUUCUAACCAUCAGAGGAGUGAAGUUCUGGAACAGCUUUCCAAGGGGAGCAGUGGGGGCAAAAAACCUAACUGGCUUCAAGACUGAGCUUGAUAAGUUUAUGGAGGGGAUGGUAUGAUGAGACUGCCUACAAUGGCAUGUAGCUGAUCUGUGACUGCUAGCAGCAACUAUCUCUAACGGCCAGAGAUGAGACUCUAGAUGAGGAGGGCUCUGAGUUACUACAGAGAAUUCUUUCCCAGGAGUCUGGCUGGUGGGUCUUGCCCACAUGCUCAGGAUCUAACUGAUCGCCAUGUUUGGGGUCAGGAAGGAAUUUUCCUCCAGUCAGAUUGCCAAAGACCCUGUGGGGUUUUCACUUUCCUCUGCAGCGGGGGCAUGAGUCACUUGAAGGUUUAAACUGGUGUAAAUAGCAGAUUCUCUGUCAUUUGAAAUCAAAUCAUGAUUUGAGGGCUUCAGCAACUCAGGCAGAAGUUAUGAGUCUAUUACAGGAAUGGACGGGUGAGGUUCUGUGGACUAGAGGAUCAUGAUGGUCCCUUCUGACCUUACAGUUUAUGAGAAAAGCAAAAAUACUCUAUCAAAGACUAUCUGGUCUUUAUACCACACAUACUAUCCCAUGUCAGGUCUUUAAGUAUACAUGUAACAAAGAUAAACUGGCACCUGGAGCCUCAUUCUGUUAAGAUUUUAAAACUACAACUCUGUGGCUCUAGACUUUUCCUUUCUUAAUAUUUGUUUUUAGCUCUCAAACCC